UUUGAAAAGGGUUGGUUGCCAGAUGUUAGCAAAUCAAAUUCCAAUAAUCGAACUCGCAGAUAUUUGCGUUUGAUUUCGUGAAAUCGGCAGUACAUGUACCGAUUCUAUUAAGAGAAAACGU